rnacentral:rRNA from 1 species
GAGUUUGAUCGUGGCUCAGAUUGAACGCUGGCGGCAGGCCUAACACAUGCAAGUCGAGCGGAUGAAGGGAGCUUGCUCCUGGAUUCAGCGGCGGACGGGUGAGUAAUGCCUAGGAAUCUGCCUGGUAGUGGGGGAUAACGUCCGGAAACGGGCGCUAAUACCGCAUACGUCCUGAGGGAGAAAGUGGGGGAUCUUCGGACCUCACGCUAUCAGAUGAGCCUAGGUCGGAUUAGCUAGUCGGUGGGGUAAAGGCCUACCAAGGCGACGAUCCGUAACUGGUCUGAGAGGAUGAUCAGUCACACUGGAACUGAGACACGGUCCAGACUCCUACGGGAGGCAGCAGUGGGGAAUAUUGGACAAUGGGCGAAAGCCUGAUCCAGCCAUGCCGCGUGUGUGAAGAAGGUCUUCGGAUUGUAAAGCACUUUAAGUUGGGAGGAAGGGCAGUAAGUUAAUACCUUGCUGUUUUGACGUUACCAACAGAAUAAGCACCGGCUAACUUCGUGCCAGCAGCCGCCGU